rnacentral:rRNA from 1 species
AGCAGCCGCGGUAAUUCCAGCUCCAAUAGCGUAUAUUAAAGUUGUUGCAGUUAAAAAGCUCGUAGUUGAAUUUCGGGGUUAGUAGGUUGGUCAUGCCUCUGGUAUGUACUGGUCUCACUGAUUCCUCCUUCCUGAUGAGCCGUAAUGCCAUUAAUUUGGUGUUGGCGGGUAAUUUGGAC